rnacentral:misc_RNA from 1 species
GAAAUGCGAUAAGUAAUGUGAAUUGCAGAAUUCCGUGAAUCAUCGAAUCUUUGAACGCACAUUGCGCCCUCUGGCAUUCCGGGGGGCAUGCCUGUCCGAGCGUCAUUACGCACCCUCAAGCCCGGCUUGUGUGAUGGGCCUCGGCGUCUCGUUCGCGAGACGGGCCCGAAAGGCAGCGGCGGCGUCGACCCGAUGAGCCCGAGCGUAUGGGGACUUCUGUCACACGUUCGCGGUGCGGACCGGCGCCUGCUUGACUUUUCUGAUUAUCCAGGUUGACCUCGGAUCAGGUAGGGAUACCCGCUGAACUUAAGC